GACGAACGCUGGCGGCGUGCUUAACACAUGCAAGUCGAGCGGUAAGGCUCCUUCGGGGGUACACGAGCGGCGAACGGGUGAGUAACACGUGAGUAAUCUGCCCCUCACUUUGGGAUAAGCCUCGGAAACGAGGUCUAAUACCGAAUACGACCACUUCGGGCAUCCGAUGGUGGUGGAAAGUUUUUCGGUGGGGGAUGUGCUCGCGGCCUAUCAGUUUGUUGGUGGGGUAAUGGCCUACCAAGGCUUCGACGGGUAGCCGGCCUGAGAGGGUGACCGGCCACACUGGGACUGAGACACGGCCCAGACUCCUACGGGAGGCAGCAGUGGGGAAUAUUGGACAAUGGGCGGAAGCCUGAUCCAGCAACGCCGCGUGAGGGAUGACGGCCUUCGGGUUGUAAACCUCUUUCAGUAGGAACGAAGCGCAAGUGACGGUACCUACAGAAGAAGCACCGGCCAACUACGUGCCAGCAGCCGCCGCCGUAA
rnacentral:rRNA from 1 species